CAAAGCCGAGUCCUAGGACUGAGGCGCGGAAGUGCGUGUGCGCGGUGCGGAGCUGCGGGCGAGCAGCGGCGCUCGCGUUCCGGCAUCGACGUCAGGCACGAGGACCAACCGGCGGAUGCUGGAGCCGGUGCUGCCUGCGACCGGGGCCUGGGUCAGUGAGGAGCCCUCGGUCCCUCCGGGCCGCUGUUGCCUUCCCCACGCGCUGCACUAGUUUGGAGCCGGCCAGCGUGCGAGUCAAGGCCCUGGCUGGGUAGCGGCUUGAGGUGAAGGACAGAGCCCUCUUGACCACAGAACCCCACGGAUUAAGGGACAUAAAAGCUUGGUUUGUGAGGCAUGGUCAGGACUAGAUAAGACCCUGAUGAUUGUUAUAUGAAACUGCUUGGUGAAUAAAUUGUUGUUAGUGCGCUUGGGAACCAGCCAGUCUCUAAUGACGGAGAAAUACGUUAAUAGUGGACUGGCACUUGAUCACGAAAGAGGCGUUCCUGUCCCAUCGAUGUACAGAUGAUUUCAUUACUAAGUAGUUGGCACUACCGGUGAAUUACGCAGCAUUUCUUGUUCCUCAAAAUGAAAAAGCAAGUGCGAUUUGCAGUAGUGAAAGUUCUAACGCGCCGUUGUGCUGUCUCUCUUCAGGUUUUCUAUCAGGUGUUCCACUGUAAUGAUGCGGGAGUUAAAUCUCUGUUUCAUUGCUGCACAUCAGAGCAAUUUGUCUGCAUACAGAAAUGAAAUAAUGUUUAAAAACAGCUGGCAAAUUGAAGAUUGCAGUGGCCUAACCUUUAUGCUCAAGUAACAUUAAUUGGACUGCAAGAACUAGUUUGGGGUAACCCAAAUCUAUUACUGGAACCAUGAAAGUUUUGUUGGUGUUUGACUUUGACAAUACAAUCAUAGAUGACAACAGUGACACCUGGAUCGUACAGUGUGCUCCAGACAAAAAGCUUCCUGUUGAAUUACAAGAUUCUUACCAAAAGGGGUUUUGGACAGAAUUUAUGGGCAGAGUCUUUAAGUAUCUGAGAGACGAAGGGGUAAAAGAAGAUGAAAUGAAGAGAACAGUGACAUCAAUGCCUUUCACUUCGGGAAUGACAGAACUUUUCAGCUUUCUGAGAAUGAAUAAGGACAGAUUUGACUGCAUCAUUAUUUCAGAUUCAAAUUCAGUCUUCAUAGAUUGGGUUUUAGAAGCUGCUGAUUUUCAUGAUGUCUUUGAUAACGUGUUUACAAAUCCAGCAGCUUUUGAUAGCAACGGCCGUCUUGCAGUGAAAAACUGCCAUGCUCAUUCUUGCAGUAGGUGCCCAAAGAAUCUUUGCAAAAAUACAGUUUUGGUAGAAUUUAUAGAUGAACAAUUACAAAAGGGCGUGAGAUAUACUCGGAUUGUUUAUAUAGGUGAUGGUGGAAAUGAUGUCUGUCCAGUAACCUUUUUAAAGAAAAAUGAUGUUGCCAUGCCGCGGAAAGGAUACACUUUGCAUAGAACUCUAGCCAGGAUGUCUCAGAAUCUUGAGCCUAUGGAAUCAUCUAUUGUAGUUUGGUCUUCAGGUGUUGAGAUAAUUUCUCAUUUGCAGUGUCUAAUAAAGGAUUGAUGUGCCAAGUAUUGAAAUCUGAAUUAGUUAAGAUUGGGCUCAGCAAAAUAAAACUAAAUCCCUAAUGUUAGUACCUUUAAAAAUGUGAGGAUUUUCCUCUUAGAAGAAUUCUGGUCAAGGGCACUUUGCUGCUCAGCCAACCUCAGCUUUUAGUUCCAACCCGUGAUUUGAGGUUGAUACCUAAGCUCAAGUCCUCACAACAAACAUUCUGACCAAGAACCAGAGCAGUGAGCUUGUAACCCUUUGUUUAAGAAUAUUUUCCAAUUGUACCAGACAGUUCUGUUUGAAUACCACAAGCCAAAACCUAGUCAGUGCCUUUUCUAACUGCAAAGAUGGAAAGUACAGCUUUCAUUUCAGGUGGUCAUGUGCCCAGGAAAAAAUGGAAAAACAAUACGAAAUUGAGGUAGGUUUAACUCAUGGUCUGUAUUAGGGGUGGUUAAUGCAUUGUAUUUUUUUAGACUUUUUUUCUGGAAAAAAACAGGUUUUACUUCCUUCAAAAAUAUAUCCAGCAGUUACAGAUGUUGAAAUAGCAGAUGUGCCCUCUUCCCCUGCUGUCGGCAAGUCAUAUAGACACUUGAGUGUGUUCAAGAUUUAGCUUCACCUAACCCACUACUGUAGCUGAGGAAGGCGUUAUUGCUGGAGAUGUAAUGGAUGCUAAUACUGCCUUCCAGGAGGCACUGAAGACUGCACUCAUCAAAGAUGGCCCAGCAUGGGGAUCAUGCAAAACUGCCAAAGCCUUAGGAACCAGGAUUCCUACGGAAGGUGAAAUAUGUCAACACAUUGUCGACUCUAUGCCAAG